CACCAAGACUAUUACAGGUACGGGCUCUGAGAGGAGUAGCCCGGAGAUGGGUACUGAGACACGGACCCAGGCCCUAUGGGGCGCAGCAGGCGAGAAAACUUUGCAAUGUGCGAAAGCACGACAAGGUUAAUCCGAGUGGUUUCUGCUAAAGGAACCUUUUGUCAGUCCUAGAAACACUGAUGAAUAAGGGGUGGGCAAGUUCUGGUGUCAGCCGCCGCGGUAAAACCAGCACCUCAAGUGGUCAGGAUGAUUAUUGGGCCUAAAGCAUCCGUAGCCUGCUUUGUAAGUUUUCGGUUAAAUCCAUACGCUCAACGUAUGGGCUGCCGGGAAUACUGCAAAGCUAGGGAGUGGGAGAGGUAGACGGUACUCGGUAGGAAGGGGUAAAAUCCUUUGAUCUAUUGAUGACCACCUGUGGCGAAGGCGGUCUACCAGAACACGUCCGACGGUGAGGGAUGAAAGCUGGGGGAGCAAACCGGAUUAGAUACCCGGGUAGUCCCAGCUGUAAACUAUGCAAACUCAGUGAUGCAUUGGCUUGAUGCCAAUGCAGUGCUGCAGGGAAGCCGUUAAGUUUGCCGCCUGGGAAGUACGUACGCAAGUAUGAAACUUAAAGGAAUUGGCGGGGGAGCACAAGGGCGAAUCGCGCCGCUAUG
rnacentral:rRNA from 1 species